rnacentral:rRNA from 1 species
GCGGACGGGUGAGUAACACGUGGAUAACCUACCUAUAAGACUGGGAUAACUUCGGGAAACCGGAGCUAAUACCGGAUAAUAUAUUGAACCGCAUGGUUCAAUAGUGAAAGACGGUUUUGCUGUCACUUAUAGAUGGAUCCGCGCCGCAUUAGCUAGUUGGUAAGGUAACGGCUUACCAAGGCGACGAUGCGUAGCCGACCUGAGAGGGUGAUCGGCCGCACUGGAACUGAGACACGGUCCAG